GGGAAAUGUCUCAGAACACCAGGAAACACGUUGGGCAAGGGCGACACACACCGCCUGCGGAUGAGGCCGUGGCUGGACAAGUGGUCCCACUCUCGAAAGGACUCGGCGUGAGCUGGAGGCUUGAAUUCAGAAGCUGUUUCCCGUAGACUUACUCCCAGUGCGUGACUUCCCUGGUGGCGCAGUGGUUAAGAAUCCACCUGGCAAUGCAGAGGACCCAGGUUCGAUCGUCGGUCCAGGAAGAUCCCACAUGCCACAGAGCAACUGAGCCCAUGCGCCACAACUACUGAGCCUGCGAGCCACAACUACUGAAGCCCGCAUGCCUAGAGCCCGUGCUCUGCAACAAGAGAAGCCACCACAAUGAGAAGCCCGCGCACUGCAACCAAGACCCAACG